GACAGAACUGUGCUACUGGUCCUGUUGUGUCUGCAGGUUUUCCUGCUCAUCACAGCCUUCACUUCUACUGAUGCAGCCGCUCUGGUGAAAGGUGAUCAUCAACAACUGUCUCCUGAUCUGGUGGAGGGAGAAAGUGUGCAUGACAGAGAAAAGAGUCGACAAAGAGGAAAACGUAGUUGUGGUUGGUAUCCAGGUGGAUGUUCACUUUUGGGCAAGGGUCAUUCUGAUUUCAUGAGAGAAAAGGAACCCACAAAGAUCCCAACAACAAACCCUCCAUUAUUGGUUUUAUGACAAACUAAUAUCCCAACGACAUCGGUUUGGGAUAAACUAAUGUAAAUGUGCUUCAUACAAUGAGGAUGAAUAUUAGCAUAGAGCAAGAUCUGUGUAAUACUACCAGUGUUGUUAGUAUAAGGGCGGUUAGCUCACCUCUGAAGGCUAACUCUGCCAUCACCGGGGGUUUGCUUACAUCAAUACAUUAUUAUUGUUCUUCCAUGUCAUGUGACCUAAGGAGUCCAACUUUUUGAUUUUUGAUUUCCCAGCUGUAAACUGUAAUCAUAAAUAUUAAAACAAUGUGGU